rnacentral:rRNA from 1 species
UCUUGGAGAGUUUGAUCCUGGCUCAGAGUGAACGCUGGCGGCAUGGUUAAGACAUGCAAGUCGAACGAGAAGCAAGUCUUCGGACUUGUGGAAAGUGGCGAACGGGUGCGUAACACGUGAGCAACCUGCCCUUGAGUACGGAAUAGCCUUCCGAAAGGGAGAUUAAUGCCGUAUGUGGCCUUUUCUCACAUGGGAAAAUGGCUAAAGCCUGCAAUGGCGCUCAAGGAUGGGCUCGCGGCCUAUCAGC